GUGGGGAAUAUUGCGCAAUGGGGGAAACCCUGACGCAGCGACGCCGUGUGAGGGAAGAAGGCUUUCGGGUCGUAAACCUCUGUCAGAAAGGAAGAACCUCCCAAGUCCGAAUAGGGCUUGGGACUGACGGUACUUUCAAAGGAAGCACCGGCUAACUCCGUGCCAGCAGCCGCGGUAAUACGGAGGGUGCAAGCGUUAAUCGGAAUCACUGGGCGUAAAGCGCGCGUAGGCCGCUUUGUAAGUCGGACGUGAAAGCCCUCGGCUCAACCGGGGAACUGCGUUUGAUACUGCGAGGCUUGAGUCCUGGAGAGGGUGGCGGAAUUCCGGGUGUAGGAGUGAAAUCCGUAGAUAUCCGGAGGAACACCGGUGGCGAAGGCGGCCACCUGGACAGGUACUGACGCUGAGGCGCGAAAGCGUGGGGAGCAAACAGGAUUAGAAACCCUUGUAGUCC
rnacentral:rRNA from 1 species